AGGUGCGAUCAUACCAGCACUAAUGCACCGGAUCCCAUCGGAACUUCGAAGUUAAGCGUGCUUGGGCGAAAGUAGUACUAAGAUAGGCUUUGUCACAGAACUUUCACAGACACAGGCA
rnacentral:rRNA from 1 species